GGGGAUCUUCGGAGCCCUUCAACCGCGCGAAAGCGACCUGAAAGCCGCAAGGACCGAGGGGCGUUAUGCGCAAGCUAACGGAAGACAGAAA
rfam:Rhodobacterales bacterium 65-51 scnpilot_p_inoc_scaffold_477, whole genome shotgun sequence.